ACGGUUAUAAAUCAACAUAUUGAUUUAUAAGCAUGGAAAUCUCCUGAGUGAAACAACGAAUUGCUGUGUGUAGUCUUUGCCCAUCUCCCACGAUGGGCUUUUUUUUAA
rnacentral:other from 1 species